CAGCCGUAAACUAUGCGCGUUAGGUGUACUGGUGACCACGAGUCACCGGGGUGCCGAAGGGAAACCGUGAAACGUGCCGCCUGGGAAGUACGGUCGCAAGGCUGAAACUUAAAGGAUUGGCGGGGAGCACCACGAACGGGUGGAGCCUGCGGUUUAAUUGGACUCAACGCCGGAAAUCUCACCGGAUAGGACAGACAUAUGAUAGUCGGGCUGAAGACUCUACUUGAUGAUCUGAGAGGUGGUGCAUGGCGUCAGUGACU
rnacentral:rRNA from 1 species